GUAGGGCGGUCAAUUGUUUGUCACUUCUGUUCUAUAAUGCAUUAUUAAUUGCUAGGGGAGGCUAGGGAUAGCAAGCCAGUAAUUAGUAAUAGGCUCUUUUUGUCGAGGGAUCGGGUUAAGGGUAGGCCAAGAAAGAUGCAUGACAAUUAGAUAAUCAAGCUAAUUAAUCAAGAGGAGUAAAUAAGAGAGAGCGGAUAAGAUGAAAUUGUAAACCUCCAACAACUCCAUUCAUCCAUUGUUUUCUUCUCGUCAAUUGAAUCAAUCUCUUUUGCAUGUUCAUAUGUUAUUCUCAAAUCCAAUUUAUUAAAUUUUAUUUUCA
rnacentral:lncRNA from 1 species